UAUGUGAUCGUCUCUCGCAUAUCAAUAAGCGGAGGAAAAGAAACUAACAAGGAUUCCCCUAGUAACGGCGAGUGAAGCGGGAAGAGCUCAAAUUUGAAAUCUUAAAGGGUUUCCCUUUACGAAUUGUAGUUUAAAGAAGCGUUUUCUGUUGAGGUUUUGGUAAAAGUUCUUCGGAAUAGGACAUCAUAGAGGGUGAGAAUCCCGUAUUUGACCUUUACUUUCAACUUUGUGAUACACUUUCAAAGAGUCGGAUUGUUUGGGAAUGCAGUCCAAAAUGGGUGGUAAAUUUCAUCUAAAGCUAAAUAUUGGCGAGAGACCGAUAGCGAACAAGUACCGUGAGGGAAAGAUGAAAAGAACUUUGAAAAGAGAGUUAAACAGUACGUGAAAUUGUCAAAAGGGAAGCGUUUGACACCAGUGUUGUUUUUCUGAAAAUCAAUUAAAGAACUGUUUAUGCUAAGCUGUUUAGACUUUAUCAGCUAUCUGUUUAGUUUUGAGCUUUUCUUUAAUGCACUUUUCAGUUAACAAGUCAACAUCAAUUUCUUUUGCUGUAAAAAAGCUUGAGGAAGGUGGCUUGAGAUUCGUCUUAAGUGUUUAUAGCCUCUUGCCUAUGCAGUCGGAGAGAUUGAGGUCUGCAGCGUGGAUCCUUCGGGGCUAAAUGCAUUUGUGCUAAGUUAUAGCAUUUUAUAGACAACUUGUUGACUAUGAUUUGUCUUGUAGCUUACUCGCUUAUGUUAUUUUACCUACGCUUAGGAUGUUGAGUCGUAGAGCACGCAG
rnacentral:rRNA from 1 species